rnacentral:tRNA from 1 species
ACCUGGUGGCUCAGACGGUAAAGAACCUGCCUACAAUGCAGGAGAUCCAGGUUCAGUCCCUGGAUCAGGAA